UACGAAGGGGGCUAGCGUUGCUCGGAAUCACUGGGCGUAAAGGGUGCGUAGGCGGGUCUUUAAGUCAGGGGUGAAAUCCUGGAGCUCAACUCCAGAACUGCCUUUGAUACUGAGGAUCUUGAGUUCGAGAGAGGUGAGUGGAACUGCGAGUGUAGAGGUGAAAUUCGUAGAUAUUCGCAAGAACACCAGUGGCGAAGGCGGCUCACUGGCCCGAUACUGACGCUGAGGCACGAAAGCGUGGGGAGCAAACAGG
rnacentral:rRNA from 1 species